rnacentral:rRNA from 1 species
AACGAACGCUGGCGGCAUGCCUAACACAUGCAAGUCGAACGAGACCUUCGGGUCUAGUGGCGCAUGGGUGCGUAACGCGUCGGAACCUGCCCUUAUGUUUGGAAUAACUCCCCGACAGGGGUGCUAAUACCGGAUAAUGUCUUCGGACCAAAGAUUUAUCGCCCUGGGUUGGGCACGCGUUGGAUUAGCUAGUUGGGAGGGUAAAAGCCUACCACGGCGACGAUCCGUAGCUGGUCUGAGAGGAUGAUCAGCCACACUGGAACUGAGACACGGCCCAGACUCCUACGGGAGGAAGCAGUGGGGAAUCUUCGGCAAUGGGCGAAAGCCUGAUGUAGCAAUACCGCGUGAGUGAUGAAGGUCUUCGGAUUGUAAAACUCUGUUGUUAGGGAAGAAAAAAAGUGGAUUUAACUCUGGAGGUCUUGACGGUACCUAAAGAAUAAGCAACGGCUAACUACGUG